UACGUAGGUGGCGAGCGUUGUCCGGAUUUACUGGGCGUAAAGAGCGCGCAGGCGGCUGGUCAAGUCCGAUGUGAAAGCUCCCGGCUUAACUGGGAAAUUGCAUCGGAAACUGAUCGGCUGGAAGGUGGGAGAGGGUAGCGGAAUUCCCGGUGUAGUGGUGAAAUGCGUAGAGAUCGGGCGGAACACCAGCGGCGAAGGCGGCAUCCUGGCCCGUACCUGGACGCUGAGGCGCGAGAGCGUGGGGAGCAAACGAGG
rnacentral:rRNA from 1 species